UACGUAGGGACCAAGCGUUGUUCGGAUUUACGUGGGCGUAAAAGGGCGCGUAGGCGGCCUACCGCAAGUCAGUUGUGAAAAUCUCUGGGCUUAACCCCAGAAAGGUCAACUGAUACUGCGGGGCUAGAGUGCAGAAGGGGCAAGCUGGAAUUCUCGGUGUAGCGGUGAAAUGCGUAGAUAUCGAGAGGAACACCUGCGGCGAAGGCGGGUUGCUGGGCUGACACUGACGCUGAUGCGCGAAAGCUAGGGGAGCGAACGGG
rnacentral:rRNA from 1 species